GCGAAUGGCUCAUUAAAUCAGUUAUCGUUUAUUUGAUAAUACCUUACUACUUGGAUAACCGUGGUAAUUCUAGAGCUAAUACAUGCUGAAAAUCCCGACUUCGGAAGGGAUGUGUUUAUUAGAUAAAAAACCAAUGCCCUUCGGGGCUUUUUGGUGAUUCAUGAUAACUUUACGGAUCGCAUAGCCUUGCGCUGGCGACGGUUCAUUCAAAUUUCUGCCCUAUCAACUUUCGAUGGUAAGGUAUUGGCUUACCAUGGUUUCAACGGGUAACGGGGAAUUAGGGUUCGAUUCCGGAGAGGGAGCCUGAGAAACGGCUACCACAUCCAAGGAAGGCAGCAGGCGCGCAAAUUACCCAAUCCCGACACGGGGAGGUAGUGACAAUAAAUACUGAUACAGGGCUCUUUUGGGUCUUGUAAUUGGAAUGAGUACAAUUUAAACCUCUUAACGAGGAACAAUUGGAGGGCAAGUCUGGUGCCAGCAGCCGCGGUAAUUCCAGCUCCAAUAGCGUAUAUUAAAGUUGUUGCAGUUAAAAAGCUCGUAGUUGAAACUUGGGCCUGGCUGGCGGGUCCGCCUCACCGCGUGCACUCGUCCGGCCGGGCCUUCCUUCUGAAGAACCUCAUGCCCUUCACUGGG
rnacentral:rRNA from 1 species